UUUUGGAACCUUACCUGGGCUAGAAUGUAUUUUGCUACCUUGAGAAAUUGAGGGUUCCUUCGGGACGGAAUACAAGGUGCUGCAUGGCUGUCGUCAGCUCGUGCCGUGAGGUGUUGGGUUAAGUCCUAUAACGAGCGAAACCCUUUUACUUAAUUGCCAGCACGUAAUGGUGGGGACUUUAAGUAGACUGCCCGUGUAAGCGGGAGGAAGGAGAGGACGAGGUCAAGUCAUCAUGGCCUUUAUGCCCAGGGCUACACACGUACUACAAUGGCAUGUACAAAGGGAAGCUACUUGGUAACAAGAUGCAAAUCUAAAAAGCAUGUCUCAGUUCGGAUUGAGGUCUGCAAUUCGGCCUCAUGAAGUUGGAAUCGCUAGUAAUCGCGUAUCAGCAAUGACGCGGUGAAUACGUUCUCGGACCUUGUACACACCGCCCAUCAAGCCAUGGGAGUUGGUAGAGCUUGAAGACAGUGGCAAA
rnacentral:rRNA from 1 species